rnacentral:RNase_P_RNA from 1 species
GAAGCUGGCCAGACAGCCGCUGCGUAUUCCCCCGGGGAAUGCGGAGAGGAAAGUCCGGGCUCCAUAGGGUAGGGUGACGGCUAACGGCCGUCCGCCGUGAGGCGAGGAACAGGGCCACAGAGACGAGUCCGCCGGAGUGCUUCCGCACUGUGCCGCUGCAAGGCGGCACAGUCGCGCGGACACCGGCGGGGUGAAACGCGGCAACCUCCACCUGGAGCAACACCAAGUAGGCAAGCGAUGACGCGACCCGCCGAGCUUGCGGGUAGGUGGCUUGAGCCUUGGAGCAAUCCAGGGCCUAGAGGAAUGGCUGUCGGGAGCUUUCCGGCUCCUACAGAACCCGGCUUAUCGGCCAGCUUCGACU